AAGAAAGUCAUAAUGGUUAUGGGGCUAGCUUGAAACUAGUUUUAGGAGGUUCGAUUCCUCCCUUUCUUG
rnacentral:tRNA from 1 species